CAGUCGCCGCGGUAAUACGGAGGGAGCUAGCGUUGUUCGGAAUUACUGGGCGUAAAGCGCACGUAGGCGGUUAUUCAAGUCAGAGGUGAAAGCCCGGGGCUCAACCCCGGAACUGCCUUUGAAACUAGAUGACUGGAAUCUUGGAGAGGUCAGUGGAAUUCCGAGUGUAGAGGUGAAAUUCGUAGAUAUUCGGAAGAACACCAGUGGCGAAGGCGACUGACUGGACAAGUAUUGACGCUGAGGUGCGAAAGCGUGGGGAGCAAACAGGAUUAGAUACCCCUGAGUCCCUGUCUCUUAUACA
rnacentral:rRNA from 1 species